rnacentral:rRNA from 1 species
GACCGAUAGUGAACCAGUACCGUGAGGGAAAGGUGAAAAGGAACCCGGAAGGGGAGUGAAAGAGAACUUGAAACCGUUGUCUUACAAGUAGUCAGAGCCCGUUAAUGGGUGAUGGCGUGCCUUUUGUAGAAUGAACCGGCUAGUUACGAUCUGAUGCAAGGUUAAGCAGCAAAUGUGGAGCCGCAGCGAAAGCGAGUCUGAAUAGGGCGUUGAGUAUUUGGUCGUAGACCCGAAACCAGGUGAUCUACCCUUGGUCAGGUUGAAGUUCAGGUAACACUGAAUGGAGGACCGAACCGACUUACGUUGAAAAGUGAGCGGAUGAACUGAGGGUAGCGGAGAAAUUCCAAUCGAACCUGGAGAUAGCUGGUUCUCUCCGAAAUAGCUUUAGGGCUAGCCUCAAGUGAUGAUUAUUGGAGGUAGAGCACUGUUUGGACGAGGGGCCCCUCUCGGGUUACCGAAUUCAGACAAACUCCGAAUGCCAAUUAAUUUAACUUGGGAGUCAGAACAUGGGUGAUAAGGUCCGUGUUCGAAAGGGAAACAGCCCAGACCACCAGCUAAGGUCCCAAAAUAUAUGUUAAGUGGAAAAGGAUGUGGCGUUGCCCAGACAACUAGGAUGUUGGCUUAGCAGCCGUCAUU